CACAGAUGUGGUUUUCUCCCCUCCCCCCAUGAUGACUUUGCCUGGCUGAGAACCUGUCAUGCGUGGGUCCUGAGCCGGCUGCCUGGCUGGCCACACUGUGCUGGCCAGGCCUCUGUGUUGCUGAUCAGAGUCGUCUCCAGAGAAGAUUGUUGUGCUGCCCGUCACCUCCUCAGACUGCUGUCACCCUGGGAAGGUCUGGCUUGGGUCACCCAGCUUCUGCUGUGGGUUCCAUGUUUUGGAGAGGCACUUUUUCUCAGUCACUCAUUCCUGAAACAAAUGCUUGGUGAGCACGUUUGGCCGCUGCUGUGUGGGCCGGCAUUCCCGUGGCAGCUGCCCUGAACAAUCUUGUCACCACCACCCUCACUCCCCCUCCUCUCCCCCUUCCUGUCCUGCCCCUUCUCUGAGCCGUACUGUGUGGGGCUGGGGUCUCCUUUGUCCCCCCAUCUUGGGCUCACCCUUGGCCCUUGGAUUUCCCUCAGCAUCUUCCCCUGGGGCUCCGAGGCCCUGUUCCAUUCUCCUGGCCCGUCUCCUGGUAUCCGGCCACCAGGCCUGAGGGGGACCAGAGCCUGGACCAGGGACUCCAGAUUCUUUAGCUCACCCACCAUGUGGAAGAGGUACAAUGGGGGAGGGUGGGGCCUGUUCACUCCCCAUCACCCCUUAAGGCCCCACUUUAGGGGUUUCAGGAACUCCAGGGACCGGGGGUGGGGUGGAAUGACACCCAGCAGCCCAGCUCCCAGGCUAGCUCCCGGGAAGGCUUGGGGAACCCCCAAGUAGGGGCCUUCAGACCCUGCAGAACCAGUCCCACUGACUGGUGUGAGAUGCUCUGGAGGGCCCGCUGCACCACGCUCAAGUGAGGCUGGUGACCCCAAGGCCUUCAGGGAUGUUGAGCUCAAAUGCACCUGAAAGGAGGUGCCAGGGAUCUGUGGCUGUGGGCACAGGGGUCAGAGGGGCUGCUUAUGCAGCUGCUUAAGAGCCUCGGUAGAGGCCGAGCAAGGAGGCACAACUAUGGGACAAGGGCGUCUGAGGUGGAGGGAGGGCCCCAGGGCCUGGGGCUGUAGCCCCUUUCCUACCCUGCCCCUUGGCCAGGGAAGCCCAGAGUGCAUCCACAUGGUGAGGGUGAUGGGGAGCCUGAGGAACUGCUCUCCGGGUGCCAAGGGUCAGAGCAGGAAAUGCAGGGCUGCAGCCAGAGGGAAGGGGGGCCCAGUGGCUUCUUCUAGGACCAUAGAGAUGAAUCCAGUGGGGUCAGAAGGGGCCCGACAGGAGCUAGGCCUGAUGCCUCGGCUUCCCUGCCAUGUGAACAGAGAUGCUCCACGCCUCUGUGAGGCCCUGCUGUUCUGUGGGUCCUGGAGGCAGACCCAGCAUCUACAUCUGGCAGCUCUGCACCAACCUCUCUCCAUGGACCUCCUUCCUUACCCCUCCUCGUCCCUUGGAGUGGCUUCUGUGUCCUGACAUGGAUGCAGCUGGGAGCCUGUGGGACCACUGCCUGGCCCGGCCCUGGGAGGGGAGGCCGGGACUGUUUGCUGGUCUAUUCACACCUUCUCUGUGUUUAGAAAAACACAAGUUGUGCCUUUGAUUCAGUUCCCUUUCCUGCUUUCUGCACUACUUCUAACCAGAUGGAUCCACGAGAGGGAACCCUGGAAUCUCGGUGACUCCAUUCAACUGUUGCCAGCUCUCUGUGUGGAAAACAGCAGAACCAAAGGUAUUUUGUUGAAAGCAGCCCCGUCUGGGAAGCUUAGGCUUUAAUAGCAGUGAUUAAGUUAUCUUCCUAAUGAUAAAAGGGAGCAGCACCCUUUCUCUCCCAGCUCUCGCUUGCACCUACCCCCUCCCAGCCCUACCACCGCAUCCUCCUCAGCUGCAGAGGGUGUUCCCUGUGCCAGUGACCCUGAGAUGCUGGACCUCUGAAGUCCAAGGGCACCAGCAAGAGUGUGUGUCUGAGGUCCACGGGGCCGAGACCUGAGGAAAGGCUCAUUUUCUCAGCCACAGGUGUGUGCACCUGCUGGGAAAGGCCCUGGUGGCUCUGGGGGUGAACGACAGCUAGCCUCCCUGCCCUCCACCCCAAGGAGACCCACAUCCUCCUGAGCACCCCCCCACCCCCCACCGCUUGCCCCAGCCGCCUCCCAGGCUCAUUGUCCUGGCCUCAAUUCCUCUCCUUUUUCUCCAUCUCCAAACCACACCUUUACCCCAAGAUUUGUGUUCUAGAUUCUUCUCCAGGGCCUUUUGAGACCUCAUCAUCCAGUGAAGGUGGUGAUGGUGGCCAGGCCAACAGAGACCUUGUGGAGGGAGAAGCCUGGAGACUGGGUCUUCCCAGGCCGCUGAUGUGUGUGGACCUUCUCUCAGCAAGGGGGCAUGUCUGAGGCCCGCAGGAUCUCCAUCCCAGGGACAGCCUGCUACACUAGGACAGGGACACAGGCCCAUGCCCGUGUGCCUUAGUAUGCUGGGACCCCUGUACCCUAGGGCCGCCUGGCCCACCAGUUCCCAAGAGGAGCCUGCACAGCAGCGUGCCUUUGCCAGCCCACGUCACUGUUCAUCCUCAAACAGUGUGGGUUGGGGAAGGCUGGCACCUCUUUCCCUUCAACAUGGUGCUGGGGACUCGGAGCCCUGUGAGUGGGGCGUUGGGGCUGCAGCAAGAAUCCCCCUUCUGACAAUAGUAAGUUGUAAAGGGACUGCAAAAACAGGAGGCUUCAUUAAGAUACAGCCAGAUAGUCUGGAAGCUCUCUGGCCGGCAGGGCCCUCCUCCUAGGAGCCUGCAUGCAGGGUGGCCAGGCUGUGCAUCCCACCCCAGGGUACCUCAGCCAAGGAGGGGUUGGGCUGCAGGUGACACUGAGGCCCCAGACUGCCAGCUGAAUGCAGAGGCAGACAUUCACACCCCCCACCCCUCGCAGGCCUGUGCCAACGAGAAGCCCCUGGGCAGUGGGGCCAAGUCACCAUCCCCACAGGGGUGGCCAGGGAGAGACUACCUGUCCACGUGCCUGCUGCUGUAUACCCUGGGCAGUGAGAUUGGACAGCACUGCAGGAGAGCAUGGGUCAGGGGCUCUGUGGAUGGUGCCCCGCUUCCCCUCCUGGGAGCACAUUUCACCUCCUUGGCUCCCAUGAUCAAGCCCUCCCUCCCCUUGGGUGGCCAGCUGGGAGGGUUCAUUUAGAGAUAGGGCCCAGGACUGCAGUUGGCACCCCCUUCAGGAGAGCUGGACGCCACUCACUGCUCUGCCACCACCUGUCCUACUGAGUCUGAGGGCCCAGGGCCAAGCCUGCCCCUCUAACGGGUGGGCUGCAGGCAGGAGCCCCCAGGCAUCCAGGCACCUGGCACCGUGCUGCCAGGAAGGGGCCUGGUCACUGGUAGCUGGCCUUGUCCUCAGGAAGCUGGCCGGCACUGUGCUCUGAUGCCAGGUCCCUCAGUGGUCAGCUGUUUCCCACGCAUGUGUCCUGUCCCAGUAAGAAUUACAUCCCCAGAAAGUAACGCAAUGAAUGAAAGCCUGGAUUAAGAGAGACUUCAUACCCGUUAGGAUGGCUAUUAACCACCCCCCCCAAAAAAAGAAAAAAACCCAAAAUAAUAAGAGCUGGUGGGGUGUGGAGAAGCUGGAACCUUGUGCACUGUUGGUGGGAAUGUAAAAUAGUGCAGAUGCCAUGGAAAACCAUGGCGAUCUCUCAGUUCCACCUACAUUCACAGAAGCAGAGAGGUGGAAACAGCCCAAAUGUUAACAGCUGAUCUGCGGAUAAAACCGAUCAACUGAUACGUGGAUAAAAGGAUGUGGUCUGUUCAUACAGUGAAAUAUUACUGUGUCGUAAGAAAAGAGAUUCUGGUGCCACGGUGGGAAUGGACUUGAGGACACACAAACACCAUCCUACUUACAUGAGGUCCCUAGAGCUGUCGGAUUCAUGGUGACAGGAAGCAGGAUGGAGGGGCCAGGGCUGGGGGUGGGUGUCAGUGUUGAACGGGGACAGACCGUCCGGUUGGGAAGACAAAACACGGAGGUGAUGGUGGUUGAUGGCUGCAUGAUACUGAGUGUGCCUGAUGCCGCUGAGUUGUGCACUUAAAAAUGGCUAAAAUGGCAAUGGCUUUUAAUGUACUCAUGUAUAUUUAACAAGUAAACCUCCCCUGGAUUACCCAUAGUC
rnacentral:lncRNA from 1 species